CCUACGGGUGGCUGCAGUGGGGAAUAUUGCACAAUGGGGGAAACCCUGAUGCAGCGACGCCGCGUGAGUGAAGAAGUCUUUCGGUAUGUAAAGCUCUAUCAGCAGGGAAGAAAAUGACGGUACCUGAUUACGUCUUCCCGGCUAAUUAGGUGCCAGCCGCCGCGGUAAUACGUAGGGGGCAAGCGUUAUCCGGAUUUACUGGGUGUAAAGGGAGCGUAGACGGUGAUGCAAGUCAGAAGUGAAAUCCCGGGGCUCAACGCCGGGACUGCAGUUGAAACUGUGUGACUGGAGUGCAGGAGAGGUAAGCGGAAUUCCUGGUGUAGCGGUGAAAUGCGUAGAUAUCAGGAGGAACACCAGUGGCGAAGGCGGCUUACUGGACUGUAACUGACGUUGAGGCUCGAAAGCGUGGGGAGCAAACAGGAUUAGAUACCCGUGUAGUC
rnacentral:rRNA from 1 species